CAGCGGCGGUUGAAUUGCCAUGGCAACGCGGUGGGCGCGCGCUUGUCGUGUUGGUCUCUUGGGAGGUAGCGGGGCUAGGCCGGGCGGGUAUCCGCCUCUCCCAGCUUAGUUAUUUACUAGCUUGGUUAUUGACUUCCUACCCGGCACUCAACUUUAUUCACUGCUGUAUCCUCAGUGCCUAGGACGAUGCUUGGAACGUGAUUCAUUGAUUCCAGGUAAAUCAGAGGAACAAGCAACAUGAACAGAAAUAUGUAGAAAAUGCUAUUAUGCAGAAGCAUAAUUGUUGUUUCAGAAGUCCAGCAUCUGGUGCACUUAGCAAUAGAGAAUAUAUUAAAGUCUUUCCAAAAUAA